rnacentral:misc_RNA from 1 species
GAUGAAGAACGUAGCGAAAUGCGAUAAGUAAUGUGAAUUGCAGAAUUCAGUGAAUCAUCGAAUCUUUGAACGCACAUUGCGCCCGCCAGUAUUCUGGCGGGCAUGCCUGUUCGAGCGUCAUUUCAACCAUCAAGCCCCAGGCUUGUGUUGGGGGCCUGCAGCUGCUGCAGCCCCCUAAAAGCAGUGGCGGACUCGCUGUCAUACCGAGCGCAGUAGUUACAUCUCGCUCUGGGCAUGGCGGCGGGCACCUGCCGUAAAACACUCUUUCUAAGGUUGACCUCGUAUCAGGUAGGAAUACCCGCUGAACUUAAGCAUAUCAAUAAGCGGAGGA